CCCUUAGAUGUUCUGGGCUGCACGCGCGCUACACUGAUGCGAUCAACAAGUUUUUCCUAUGUCGAUAGACACGGGUAAUCUUUUGAACUCGCAUCGUGAUGGGGAUAGAUUAUUGUAAUUAUUAAUCUUCAACGAGGAAUUCCUAGUAGGUGCAAAUCAUCAGUUUGCAUCGAUUACGUCCCUGCCCUUUGUACACACCGCCCGUCGCUGCUACCGAUUGGUUGAUCUGGUGAAUUAUUCGGACUGCCGGCUGAAGGGGUUUCCUCAUCUGCUAGCGGAAAGUCUUGUUAACCCUAUCAACUAGAGGAAGCAGAAGUCGUAACA
rnacentral:rRNA from 1 species